GUGAAUCAUCAAAUCUUUGAACGCAAAUUGCACUCUCUGGUAUUCCGGGGAGUAUGCCUGUUUGAGGGUCAGUAUAAAUUAAAAAUCGAGGUUUGGCGUUUUUUUUUGACGCGUCGGAAUUGUUGGAUCUUUGUCCUUUGGAGUUUUUAAGAGACCUAAAAUUAAUACUUUGUUCAUCUCAUACGUACAGAAAGAAUAUUUUUUUUUUUAUCCAUCGGGGAUAGCCAAA
rnacentral:misc_RNA from 1 species